rnacentral:rRNA from 1 species
GACGAACGCUGGCGGCGUGCUUAACACAUGCAAGUCGAACGGAAAGGCCCUGCUUUUGGGGGGUGCUCGAGUGGCGAACGGGUGAGUAACACGUGAGUAACCUGCCCUUGACUUUGGGAUAACUUCUGGAAACUGGGGCUAAUACCGGAUAGGAGCUCCUGCUGCAUGGUGGGGGUUGGAAAGUUUCGGCGGUUGGGGAUGGACUCGCGGCUUAUCAGCUUGUUGGUGGGGUAGUGGCUUACCAAGGCUUUGACGGGUAGCCGGCCUGAGAGGGUGACCGGCCACAUUGGGACUGAGAUACGGCCCAGACUCCUACGGGAGGCAGCAGUGGGGAAUAUUGCACAAUGGGCGGAAGCCUGAUGCAGCAACGCCGCGUGCGGGAUGACGGCCUUCGGGUUGUAAACCGCUUUCGCCUGUGACGAAGCGUGAGUGACGGUAAUGGGUAAAGAAGCACCGGCUAACUACGUG